rfam:Hordeum vulgare subsp. vulgare, WGS project CAJW01000000 data, contig: morex_contig_457587
AAGAUAUUACCUCCGUUCCAAUUAGUUGUCUUUGAUUUGUCUUGAUAUGGAUUUACCUAACACUAAAAUAUGUCUAAAUACAUCUGUAUCUAGACAAAUCUAAGACAACUAAUUCAGGAUGGAGGUAGUAUUAU